UACAGAGGGUGCGAGCGUUGUUCGGAAUUAUUGGGCGUAAAGGGCGCGUAGGCGGUGCGGUAAGUCACCUGUGAAAUCUCCUGGCUCAACUGGGAGCUUGCAGGCGAAACUGCCGUGCUGGAGUGUGGGAGAGGUGCGUGGAAUUCCUGGUGUAGCGGUGAAAUGCGCAGAUAUCAGGAGGAACACCAGCGGCGAAGGCGGCGCUCUGGGCCGGAACUGACGCUGAGGAGCGAAAGCGUGGGUAGCAAACAGG
rnacentral:rRNA from 1 species